UCUCCGUUGGUGAACCAGCGGAGGGAUCAUUACCGAGUUUACAACUCCCAAACCCUAUGUGAACCUUACCAAACGUUGCUUCGGCGGGAUGCCCCGGGCGCGGGCCGCAAGGCCUCAGCCCCGGAACCAGGCGCCCGCCGGAGGCCCAAACCAAACUCUUGUUUUUGUAGAAUCUUCUGAGUGGCCUUUUAGGCAAAAAAUGAAUCAAAACUUUCAGCAACGGAUCUCUUGGUUCUG
rnacentral:misc_RNA from 1 species